rnacentral:rRNA from 1 species
AGCAGCAGCCGCGGGAAUACGUAGGUGGCGAGCGUUGUCCGGAAUUAUUGGGCGUAAAGGGAGCGCAGGCGGACAUAUAAGUCCAUCUUAAAAGUGCGGGGCUCAACCCCGUGAGGGGAUGGAAACUGUAUGCCUUGAGUGCAGGAGAGGAAAGCGGAAUUCCCAGUGUAGCGGUGAAAUGCGUAGAUAUUGGGAGGAACACCAGUGGCGAAGGCGGCUUUCUGGACUGUAACUGACGCUGAGGCUCGAAAGCCAGGGGAGCGAACGGGAUUAGAGACCCCAGUAGUCCCUGUCUCUUAUACA